rfam:Gossypium arboreum cultivar AKA8401 contig_2757_1, whole genome shotgun sequence.
AACUUAUGGUAAGGCCACCUUCUCAAUAAAUCCUUAUACCUCUCUCAUGCAUCGUAAAGGGUUUCUAAAUCCAUUUACAUGAAGGAAUAGAUAUCAUUUCUCAACUU